GACGAACGCUGGCGGCGUGCCUAAUACAUGCAAGUCGAACGCUGAAGGAGGAGCUUGCUUCUCUGGAUGAGUUGCGAACGGGUGAGUAACGCGUAGGUAACCUGCCUGGUAGCGGGGGAUAACUAUUGGAAACGAUAGCUAAUACCGCAUAAGAGUAGAUGUUGCAUGACAUUUGCUUAAAAGGUGCAAUUGCAUCACUACCAGAUGGACCUGCGUUGUAUUAGCUAGUUGGUGGGGUAACGGCUCACCAAGGCGACGACACAUAGCCGACCCGGGAGGGGUAACCGCCCACAUGGGAACGAGACACGGGCCAAACUCCCACGGGGAGGCACAAGAGGGGAACGUCGGCAAUUGGCGGAAGUCUGACCGAGCAACGCCCGGGGGGUGAAGAAGGGUUUCGGAUCGUAAAGCUCCGUUGUAAGGGAAGAAAGAGUGUGAGAGUGGAAAGUGCACACUGUGACGGUACCUUACCAGAAAGCGACGGCUAACUACGUG
rnacentral:rRNA from 1 species